rnacentral:rRNA from 1 species
UACGUAGGGUGCGAGCGUUGUCCGGAUUUAUUGGGCGUAAAGAGCUCGUAGGCGGUUUGUCGCGUCGGCCGUGAAAGCUCCACGCUUAACGUGGAGCGUGCGGUCGAUACGGGCAGGCUUGAGUUCGGUAGGGGAGACUGGGAUUCCUGGUGUAGCGGUGAAAUGCGCAGAUAUCAGGAGGAACACCGGUGGCGAAGGCGGGUCUCUGGGCCGAUACUGACGCUGAGGAGCGAAAGCGUGGGGAGCGAACAGG